rnacentral:misc_RNA from 1 species
AAGUCGUAACAAGGUUUCCGUAGGUGAACCUGCGGAAGGAUCAUUAACACGUUUCUAUCAUAAAACGUAACACCAAACGCGAACUAAGUUAUUUAGAUCCUAGACUUUGCAUGUGAAUUGACGACCGUAUAAUAUAAUGAUGUGGACAAUCUUUACUGAUUGUCAUGUUAUAUGGUUACAAGUUGUAUUUAAUUAUACAGACAAUUGUGAUGCAUUAGUCAGGACAUACCCCUUGCUUGUAACUCUCCUCACACCAUGUGAGUUCAAGUGAGAACAUUAUUCACACAUUUCACCAUACUUUUUGCUAGUUGACUUUAUCAUGUUAUUAUUCGUAAGGAUCAUAACACGUUUAUUAAUUGAACGUUAAAUUGUACAACUCUUAGCAAUGGAUAUCUUGGUUCUC